GACGAACGCCGGCGGCGUGCUUAACACAUGCAAGUCGAACGGAAAGGCCCUGCUUUUGUGGGGUGCUCGAGUGGCGAACGGGUGAGUAACACGUGAGUAACCUGCCCUUGACUUUGGGAUAACUUCAGGAAACUGGGGCUAAUACCGGAUAGGAGCUCCUGCUGCAUGGUGGGGGUUGGAAAGUUUCGGCGGUUGGGGAUGGACUCGCGGCUUAUCAGCUUGUUGGUGGGGUAGUGGCUUACCAAGGCUUUGACGGGUAGCCGGCCCGAGAGGGUGACCGGCCACAUUGGGACUGAGAUACGGCCCAGACUCCUACGGGAGGCAGCAGUGGGGAAUAUUGCACAAUGGGCGGAAGCCUGAUGCAGCAACGCCGCGUGCGGGAUGACGGCCUUCGGGUUGUAAACCGCUUUCGCCUGUGACGAAGCGUGAGUGACGGUAAUGGGUAAAGAAGCACCGGCUAACUACGUG
rnacentral:rRNA from 1 species